AGAGUUUGAUCCUGGCUCAGGAUGAACGCUGGCGGCAUGCCUAAUACAUGCAAGUCGAACGAGAGGAAGGAAAGCUUGCUUUUCUGAAUCUAGUGGCGAACGGGUGAGUAACACGUAGGUAACCUGCCCAUGUGCCCGGGAUAACUUCUGGAAACGGAUGCUAAAACCGGAUAGGUAGCAGACAAGCAUUUGACUGCUAUUAAAGUGGCUUUGGCCAUGAACAUGGAUGGACCUGCGGUGCAUUAGCUGGUUGGUGAGGUAACGGCCCACCAAGGCGACGAUGCAUAGCCGGCCUGAGAGGGCGGACGGCCACAUUGGGACUGAGACACGGCCCAAACUCCUACGGGAGGCAGCAGUAGGGAAUUUUCGUCAAUGGGGGGAACCCUGAACGAGCAAUGCCGCGUGAGUGAGGAAGGUCUUCGGAUCGUAAAGCUCUGUUGUAAGAGAAAAACGGCACUCAUAGGGAAUGAUGAGUGAGUGAUGGUAUCUUACCAGAAAGUCACGGCUAACUACGUGCCAGCAGCCGCGGUAAUACGUAGGUGGCGAGCGUUAUCCGGAAUGAUUGGGCGUAAAGGGUGCGUAGGUGGCAGAUCAAGUCUGGAGUAAAAGGUAUGGGCUCAACCCGUACUGGCUCUGGAAACUGAUCAGCUAGAGAACAGAAGAGGACGGCGGAACUCCAUGUGUAGCGGUAAAAUGCGUAGAUAUAUGGAAGAACACCGGUGGCGAAGGCGGCCGUCUGGUCUGGAUUCUGACACUGAAGCACGAAAGCGUGGGGAGCAAAUAGGAUUAGAUACCCUAGUAGUCCACGCCGUAAACGAUGAGAACUAGGUGUUGGGGGAAUAACUCAGUGCCGCAGUUAACGCAGUAAGUUCUCCGCCUGGGGAGUAUGCACGCAAGUGUGAAACUCAAAGGAAUUGACGGGGGCCCGCACAAGCGGUGGAGUAUGUGGUUUAAUU
rnacentral:rRNA from 1 species